rnacentral:rRNA from 1 species
GACGAACGCUGGCGGCGUGCCUAAUACAUGCAAGUAGGACGCACAGUCUAUACCGUAGCUUGCUACACCAUAGGCUGUGAGUUGCGAACGGGUGAGUAACGCGUAGGUAACCUGCCUAUUAGAGGGGGAUAACUAUUGGAAACGAUAGCUAAUACCGCAUAACAGUAUGUAACACAUGUUAGAUGCUUGAAAGAUGCAAUUGCAUCGCUAGUAGAUGGACCUGCGUUGUAUUAGCUAGUAGGUAGGGUAAUGGCCUACCUAGGCGACGAUACAUAGCCGAACUGAGAGGGUGAUCGGCCACACUGGGACUGAGACACGGCCCAGACUCCUACGGGAGGCAGCAGUAGGGAAUCUUCGGCAAUGGGGGAACCCUGACCGAGCAACGCCGCGUGAGUGAAGAAGGUUUUCGGAUCGUAAAGCUCUGUUGUUAAGGAAGAACGAGUGUGAGAAUGGAAAGUUCAUACUGUGACGGUACUUAACCAGAAAGGGACGGCUAACUACGUG